CCUACGGGUGGCAGCAGUAAGGAAUAUUGGACAAUGGACGAAAGUCUGAUCCAGCCAUGCCGCGUGAAGGAUUAAGGUCCUCUGGAUUGUAAACUUCUUUUAUUUGGGACGAAAAAAGAUCAUUCUUGAUCACUUGACGGUACCAGAUGAAUAAGCACCGGCUAACUCCGUGCCAGCAGCCGCGGUAAUACGGAGGGUGCAAGCGUUAUCCGGAUUCACUGGGUUUAAAGGGUGCGUAGGCGGGUUUGUAAGUCAGUGGUGAAAUCCUGGAGCUUAACUCCAGAACUGCCAUUGAUACUAUAAGUCUUGAAUAUUGCGGAGGUAAGCGGAAUAUGUCAUGUAGCGGUGAAAUGCUUAGAUAUGACAUAGAACACCCAUUGCGAAGGCAGCUUACUACACAUAUAUUGACGCUGAGGCACGAAAGCGUGGGGAUCAAACAGGAUUAGAUACCCCUGUAGUC
rnacentral:rRNA from 1 species